AGUCAUAUCCUCUCUCACAAUUUAUUUGGAUUGUACUAAAAGUGUAAAAGCUGUUUAGAUGAAGAAAUUUUUCAGCAGAAGCAGAACAAGUAAUUCUGAAAGUCAAGCUCAGCUGACCUUCCUAGAGAUGAAAAUCUGGAGCACUGAUAGUAGUAACAAGAAAAGCCUUGCCUCCAUUUGUGAAAGAUUGUUAACUGCAGGAGCUGAGAAUAGUGAAGAAGCUAAAGAAGGAAUUUCAUGCACUGUAAGAUUUCUGGAAGCACAGCUGAGGAUGUAGAAUGUAUUGGAAAUAAGUUGCCAUGAAAAGAGGAUUCAGCAAAGCCUUUGCAGCAGUUAGAAGUAAAUUCAUGUCACUGACUUACUUGCAUACCAGUCCACCAUCAGGAAAAGGCAGCUACACUUUAGAGAACAUUCAAACAAAACACAUCCUGAAGUGAUCACAGACUGAGGGGUGAUCAGGAUAAUGUCACUACGAAGUUGGAAUGCCACUAAGCUACACAAAGAAUUUAAUACCACUUUGAAAUAAACAUUCAGAUUAAACAAUGGAAUGUAUGAAAGAUAAAUGAUUUGUAUAAAAGAAACUACUGAAAAUAUCACCAUGAGCUUGAAUAAAUACCAGAUAUUUGCCACC